rnacentral:antisense_RNA from 2 species
CUUGAUGGUGGCUGUGCGCAGGGCGCUCUCGGGCGCGCCGGAUUGCUAGGUCCCCGGUCUACUAACCUGCGAACAGCCGCCACCCUU